rnacentral:rRNA from 1 species
AUUGAACGCUGGCGGCAGGCUUAACACAUGCAAGUCGAGCGAGCGGCGGACGGGUGAGUAAUGUCUGGGAAACUGCCUGAUGGCGGGGGAUAACUACUGGAAACGGUAGCUAAUACCGCAUACCAUCAGAUGUGCCCAGAUGGGAUUAGCUAGUAGGUGGGGUAAUGGCUCACCUAGGCGACGAUCCCUAGCUGGUCUGAGAGGAUGACCAGCAACACUGGAAGUGGGACACGGUCCAGACGCCGACGGAAGGCAGCAGUGGGAAAAAUAGCACAAUGGGCGCAAGCCUGAUGAAGCCAUGCCGAGGGUGAGAAGAAGGCCUUCGGGUUGUAAAGCACUUUCAGCGAGGAGGCGUUACUCGAAGAAGAAGCACCGGCUAACUCCGUGCCAGCAGCCGCGGGAAUUG